rnacentral:pre_miRNA from 1 species
CAUUUCAACUGAAAAAGUCACCAACUUCAAGUUGUAUAACUCAACAAGAUCUAUAACUUUUAUUUUGAUCAUUUCUUCAUUCGGUAAAGUGAUACUAAUAUUGUCCAUAAAAUUUACAUAUCUCUUAUUUGGUUUUAUAAAUUAUAAGAGAGAUAUAAAUUUUGUGAACAAUGUUACUAUCACUUUGUCGGAUUAAGAAAUGAUCAAGAUAAAAGUUGUAUGUCUUGAUGAGUUCUACAACUUUUAUGUUCAUGACUUUUUCAGCUGAAAUU